rnacentral:rRNA from 1 species
ACGUAGGUGGCAAGCGUUGUCCGGAAUUAUUGGGCGUAAAGCGCGCGCAGGUGGUAACUUAAGUCUGUUUUUAAAGUUCGGGGCUCAACUCUGUGAUGGAUUGGAAACUGUGUGUCUUGAGUACCGGAGAGGUAAGCGGAAUUCCCAGUGUAGCGGUGAAAUGCGUAGAUAUGGGGAGGAACACCAGUGGCGAAGGCGGCUUACUGGGCUGUAACUGACACUGAGGCGCGAAAGCUAGGGGAGCAAACGG